UCACAUGAAAUACGUUCUGAGGAAACUAUUUUGCAAAUCGCAAUUACGUUACAUGCCAACAUAUAAGCAGUGCUAUUACGUUGGUCCUUAACCUAAUAUGACCCGUCGCCAUGGACACAAGGGGUCGGAUAUCUAAAGUUAAAUAUUUUUAACUUACGCGUGAAAUGGUUGAUUUUAAAAAUAUAUAAAUUCUAAGUAAACAACAACAGCCCAGGUUUAGUAAACAUUUUUUAUUGAAACUAUAAAUAAAUAUUCUGCAUCCAUUUUAGGUGUGCCACUGUGGGUGGCUCCCGCACACCCCCGUGGCUACGCCCCUGCCAUGACCCAAAUCUCGUUCUCACAUAAUCGCGAUGUUUAUCAUCUAUUUACAAACGUAGCCAGUCGCCACAUCUUUGUUUCGACCAGUUAUGUCAGGAAGCUGCAACUAUUUCAAAGCAUCUUGAAAUGAAAGCUGACAAUGCUGAACUUGAAGCAGCUACCAGAGAGGCUGAAGAAAUUCUACAAAUGUUUAAUCCUCCACUGCUGAAAAAGAAGACCAAACGAGUGAUUUCCUGGACUCAACAGACACAGUGAACUUUGCACUGCAUUUCAAAGCCAGCUUCUCAGCCGCAACACUGAGAACCAGAGUUGAAGUCAAUGUACUGCUGAGAAAGUGCAAGAUCUAUUUAACCAAAAAUAUAAGGAUGCCGGAGGUACUGGAAGGCUCCCCUACCAAUCCCUGGUAAAUCAAGGCAUGACAGUUAAAGUUGCAGGACUGCCCAACAGCCUCAAAAAGCCAUCAUAUUAUGGAAGGAACCAGUUGGAGGCCAUUUUGCAAGCUGCUGAGGAGAUUUCAUUUGAAAUCAAUGCAGCACAAUGCAACUCCACUGACAAAGCAGAAGGAAUGUCAGAGGCGAUGGACGCAGAAGAGCUGGAAGAACAGUCCUCAGAAACAGCCACCGCUGUAGCUAUCGUGAUGACUGCAGAUUAAGAUGGAGGCCAUUUGUGCUGUGUCUGCCGCAUCCUUUUCGAUGAAAGGAAGAAGAAUGCUUCAGAGAAGUGGUGUUCAUGGUCACAGUGCACAGUGUGCCAAUCAUGGUCACACACUGCAUGUCAAGACACAAUGCAAACAGCCUGUAGCGAUGCAUCAGUGAUAGAAAACAUGCUAGUUACACAAAAUGUUUUAUGUUUUAACUUUGAGUUGUUUUUAUUUUGUUCAUGACCCCAUCCCUACAAACACACACACAUAUUUUAUUUUUAUUUUUAUGUAUUAGGUGCAAUUUAAUAUUUUUCAUGCAAAUGUAUUGUAAUGAUUACACUUAUAAGAAUAAAACAGAUUUUAAAUUCA